rnacentral:rRNA from 1 species
GACGAACGCUGGCGGCGUGCCUAAUACAUGCAAGUAGAACGCUGAAGGGAGGAGCUUGCUCUUCUGGAUGAGUUGCGAACGGGUGAGUAACGCGUAGGUAACCUGCCUGGUAGCGGGGGAUAACUAUUGGAAACGAUAGCUAAUACCGCAUAAGAGUAGAUGUCGCAUGACAUUUGCUUAAAAGGUGCAAUUGCAUCACUACCAGAUGGACCUGCGUUGUAUUAGCUAGUUGGUGAGGUAACGGCUCACCAAGGCAACGAUACAUAGCCGACCUGAGAGGGUGAUCGGCCACACUGGGACUGAGACACGGCUCAGACUCCUACGGGAGGCAGCAGUAGGGAAUCUUCGGCAAUGGACGGAAGUCUGACCGAGCAACGCCGCGUGAGUGAAGAAGGUUUUCGGAUCGUAAAGCUCUGUUGUAAGAGAAGAACGAGUGUGAGAGUGGAAAGUUCACACUGUGACGGUAUCUUACCAGAAAGGGACGGCUAACUACGUGCCAGCAGCCGCGGUAAUACGUAGGUCCCGAGCGUUGUCCGGAUUUAUUGGGCGUAAAGCGAGCGCAGGCGGUUAGAUAAGUCUGAAGUUAAAGGCUGUGGCUUAACCAUAGUACGCUUUGGAAACUAUUUAACUUGAGUGCAAGGGGGGAGAGUGGAAUUCCAUGUGUAGCGGUGAAAUGCGUAGAUAUAUGGAGGAACACCGGUGGCGAAAGCGGCUCUCUGGCUUGUAACUGACGCUGAGGCUCGAAAGCGUGGGGAGCAAACAGG